rnacentral:lncRNA from 1 species
CUUACAAUUGCGGCCUCCGAGGAUUGGCCUCUUCAUCAAUUAGGCAUCAACAAUGCUUUUUUGCAUGGUGACUUACAUGAAGAUGUCCAUAUGCAGCCUCUGCCUAGUUAUGUCCGUAAGGGGGAGAAUCUUGUUUGCAAGUUACAUAAAUUGCUCUACGGACUUAAGCAAGCUUCUAGGCAAUGGUUUGCCAAAUUUUCACAAGCCAUUCUUGACAUUGGUUACAUUCAAUCCAAAGCCGACUACUCUCUGUUUUAUAAACACAAAGGUAUCUCCUCAGUGUUUAUACUAGUGUAUGUCGAUGAUGUAAUUAUCACAAGUUCAUAUGCUAAUGAGAUUUCCAAGCUUAAGAACUUCCUACAUCAACGAUUCAAGCUAAAAGACUUUGUCAACCUCAAAUAUUUCCUUGAGAUUGAAGUGUCAUGAUCACGAAGAGGCAUUUGUUUGAACUAACGACAAUAUGCUUUGGAUAUUAUGAAAGACAGGUUUAUUGGGAGCUAAACCUGAGCCUUUUCUCAUGGAAGAAAAUCUAAAGCUCAACAAUAUUUAUGGCAGUCUACUCAAUAAUCUAGCCUUAUAUCGUCACUUGAUUGGAAGACUUAUUUAUCUGACUGUUACAAGACCAGAUAUUCUUUUUGCAGUUAAUAUCCUCAGCCAAUUCAUUUACCAACCACACCAACCACAUAUGAAAUCUGCCACAUGUUUAGUUCAUUACUUAAAGGGAUCACCUGAUCAAGGUAUUCUAUUAUCUUUUCAUAAUGAAUUAAAAUUGCAAGCUUUCUG